rfam:Schistosoma curassoni strain Dakar, Senegal genome assembly, scaffold: SCTD_scaffold0018557
GGCUUUCUGAAUCCGUGCAUAGAUUUCUUUAGUCACCAACCUAUCAGGGCUGAUCAGACUUCAGAGAUAAGUGAAGUU